UACGUAGGGUGCGAGCGUUAAUCGGAAUUACUGGGCGUAAAGUGUGCGCAGGCGGCCGAGCAAGUCGAGUGUGAAAUCCCCGAGCUUAACUUGGGAAUUGCGCUCGAAACUACUUGGCUGGAGUGUGGCAGAGGAAGGUGGAAUUCCACGUGUAGCGGUGAAAUGCGUAGAGAUGUGGAGGAACACCAAUGGCGAAGGCAGCCUUCUGGGCCAACACUGACGCUCAUGCACGAAAGCGUGGGGAGCAAACAGG
rnacentral:rRNA from 1 species